rnacentral:rRNA from 1 species
UGGCUCAGGACGAACGCUGGCGGCGUGCCUAAUACAUGCAAGUCGAGCGGAUUUAUCCUUCGGGAUAAGUUAGCGGCGGACGGGUGAGUAACACGUAGGCAACCUGCCUAUAAGACUGGGAUAACUAUCGGAAACGAUAGCUAAGACCGGAUAACUGAUUUUCUCGCAUGAGAAAAUUUUGAAACACGGAGCAAUCUGUGGCUUAUAGAUGGGCCUGCGGCGCAUUAGCUAGUUGGUGGGGUAACGGCCUACCAAGGCGACGAUGCGUAGCCGACCUGAGAGGGUGAACGGCCACACUGGGACUGAGACACGGCCCGGACUCCUACGGGAGGCAGCAGUAGGGAAUCUUCCGCAAUGGACGCAAGUCUGACGGAGCAACGCCGCGUGAGUGAUGAAGGUUUUCGGAUCGUAAAGCUCUGUUGCCCUAGACGAACAGCAAGAGGAGUAACUGCCUUUUGUGUGACGGUAUAGGAGAAGAAAGCCCCGGCUAACUACGUGCCAGCAGCCGCGGUAAUACGUAGGGGGCAAGCGUUGUCCGGAAUUAUUGGGCGUAAAGCGCGCGCAGGCGGUCAAUUAAGUUGGGUGUUUAAGCCCGGGGCUCAACCCCGGUUCGCAUCCAAAACUGGUCGACUUGAGUGUAGGAGAGGAAAGUGGAAUUCCACGUGUAGCGGUGAAAUGCGUAGAGAUGUGGAGGAACACCAGUGGCGAAGGCGACUUUCUGGCCUAUAACUGACGCUGAGGCGCGAAAGCGUGGGGAGCAAACAGGAUUAGAUACCCUGGUAGUCCACGCCGUAA